rnacentral:rRNA from 1 species
UGGGAACCUUCCCUAUGGUUCGGAAUAGCUCAGGGGAAACUUGAGGUAAUACCGGAUAAGCCCUUCGGGGGAAAGAUUUAUCGCCAUUGGAUGGGCCCGCGUCGGAUUAGCUAGUUGGUGAGGUAACGGCUCACCAAGGCAACGAUCCGUAGCCGGUCUGAGAGGAUGAUCAACCACACUGGGACUGAGACACGGCCCAGACUCCUACGGGAGGCAG